rnacentral:tRNA from 1 species
AAUGAUAUGCCUGAUCUAAAAGGGUUAUUUUGAUAGAAUAAAUCAUGCAUUCAUUAAUGCUUUCAUUU